GGUUCCAUAGUGUAGCGGUUAGCACGUUUGCUUUACAUGCAUGAGGUCCUGGGUUUGCGCCCCAGGGGAGCCA
rnacentral:tRNA from 1 species